rnacentral:rRNA from 1 species
AACGAACGCUGGCGGCAUGCCUAACACAUGCAAGUCGAACGAGACCUUCGGGUCUUGUGGCGCCCGGGUGCGUCACGCGUGGGAACCUGCCCUUAGGUUCGGACUAACUCCCCGACAGGGGUGCUAAUACCGGAUAAUGUCUUCGGACCAAAGAUUUAUUGCCUUUGGAUGGGCCCGCGUUGGAUUAGCUAGUUGGUAGGGUAAAAGCCUACGACGGCGACGAUCCAUAGCUGGUCUGAGAGGAUGAUCAGCCACACUGGGACUGAGACCCGGCCCAGACUCCUACGGGAGGCAGCAGUGGGGAAUAUUGGAACAUGGGGGGAAUGAUGAUCCAGCAAUGCCGCGUGAGUGAUGAAGGCCGUAGGGUUGUAAAGCGCUUUUACCCGGGAUGAUAAUGACAGUACCGGGAGAAUAAGCCCCGGCUAACUACGUG